GCCUCGCUGGUGUAGUGGUAGCAGACGCCUCCGGUACGGGUGAGACGCGGGUUCAACUCUCGUUUGAGGUC